rnacentral:rRNA from 1 species
AUGAACGCUGGCGGCGUGCCUAAUACAUGCAAGUCGAGCGAACAGACGAGGAGCUUGCUCCUCUGACGUUAGCGGCGGACGGGUGAGUAACACGUGGAUAACCUACCUAUAAGACUGGGAUAACUUCGGGAAACCGGAGCUAAUACCGGAUAAUAUAUUGAACCGCAUGGUUCAAUAGUGAAAGACGGUUUUGCUGUCACUUAUAGAUGGAUCCGCGCCGCAUAAGCUAGUUGGUAAGGUAACGGCUUACCAAGGCAACGAUGCGUAGCCGACCUGAGAGGGUGAUCGGCCACACUGGAACUGAGACACGGUCCAGACUCCUACGGGAGGCAGCAGUAGGGAAUCUUCCGCAAUGGGCGAAAGCCUGACGGAGCAACGCCGCGUGAGUGAUGAAGGUCUUCGGAUCGUAAAACUCUGUUAUUAGGGAAGAACAAAUGUGUAAGUAACUAUGCACGUCUUGACGGUACCUAAUCAGAAAGCCACGGCUAACUACGUG